UGGGGAAUAUUGGACAAUGGGCGCAAGCCUGAUCCAGCCAUGCCGCGUGCAGGAUGACGGUCCUAUGGAUUGUAAACUGCUUUUGUACGAGAAGAAACACUCCUUCGUGAAGGAGCUUGACGGUAUCGUAAGAAUAAGGAUCGGCUAACUCCGUGCCAGCAGCCGCGGUAAUACGGAGGAUCCAAGCGUUAUCCGGAAUCAUUGGGUUUAAAGGGUCCGUAAGCGGUUUAGUAAGUCAGUGGAAAGCCCAUCGCUCAACGGUGGAACGGCCAUUGAUACUGCUAAACUUGAAUUAUUAGGAAGUAACUAGAAUAUGUAGUGUAGCGGUGAAAUGCUUAGAGAUUACAUGGAAUACCAAUUGCGAAGGCAGGUUACUACUAAUGGAUUGACGCUGAUGGACGAAAGCGUGGGUAGCGAACA
rnacentral:rRNA from 1 species